UGGCGCGGUGAAUACGUUCCCGGACCUUGUACACACCGCCCGUCAAGCCAUGGAAGUCGGGGAGACCUGAAGCCGGAGGUAAACAAUCCGGUAAGGGUAAAACCGGUAACUGGGGCU
rnacentral:rRNA from 1 species